rnacentral:rRNA from 1 species
GAUGAACGCUGGCGGCGUGCCUAAUACAUGCAAGUCGAGCGAACGGACGAGACGCUUGCUUUUCUGAUGUUAGCGGCGGACGGGUGAGUAACACGUGGAUAACCUACCUAUAAGACUGGGAUAACUUCGGGAAACCGGAGCUAAUACCGGAUAAUAUUUUGAACCGCAUGGUUCAAAAGUGAAAGACGGUCUUGCUGUCACUUAUAGAUGGAUCCGCGCUGCAUUAGCUAGUUGGUAAGGUAACGGCUUACCAAGGCAACGAUGCAUAGCCGACCUGAGAGGGUGAUCGGCCACACGGGAACGGAGACACGGUCCAGACGCCUACGGGAGGCAGCAGUAGGGAAUCUUCCGCAAUGGGCGAAAGCCUGACGGAGCAACGCCGCGUGAGUGAUGAAGGUCUUCGGAUCGUAAAACUCUGUUAUUAGGGAAGAACAUAUGUGUAAGUAACUGUGCACAUCUUGACGGUACCUAAUCAGAAAGCCACGGCUAACUACGUG